UAUUCCCAAGUUAAUCCUAGUUUCACAUUCGUUAUUCCUAGACUUAUAAUCUCGAUGGUCAUCAAAAUCAUAAGAGACAAGCAAUCAAGCAGAUGUUCAUACAACUCAAUUUACUUAAUUAACAGCAAAUAAUUAUCAUUAACAGGUAAGGAUAUUUUAACAAGCUUGGCAAGAUAAAUUAAACAUAAACAAACAAUUCAAUAUAGCAAUUAGUCCAAUAAUCAAGGUUUCAUUCAAUCACAAACACAAAGUAAAAGGUUUUUACACCUAAAGCAGAAAGUAAACACAUAAUAGUUUCACAAUGGAAUGCUAAACAUGGACACGUUAACAACCCACAUGAUUACCGACAUGUAUCCGCUCUCCAAUCCUUCCGAUCUCCGCUCCCGUUAGCUUAACGGCCUUCCGGCCGCCUUCUAGACCCUCAAAACGGCUUAACAGAAGUUAAUUAUCGACUAAAUUAGGUUAGAAGUCGAAUCCCCCCUCUGGUCAGCUGAUAAUCGCCUUUUAUAACCCUUGUAACCGACUUACGUACACUGGGCGUAAUUCGGAUUACGCUGGGCGUAGUGAAGAUUAAUACGCGAUGAGGUUAUCCGGAUGCCAGCCGUUACGCGGGGCGUACAUAAAGAUUACGUUGGGCGUAACAUGUAUUUGGCUACUAUGCUUGGCAUACAUGUCCAUUACGCGGGGCGUAAAUGGCUCCUCUAGCAUUUUUCCUUUCUUUUAGCCUCUAAGCCCGAUUUCCGCUUCAGUCUUUUCUUUUGUGCUCUUUCGACAACGAAUAACUGCAAAUCAUAAUUCAAAGCAUUAUUAGUACUUUUUAGUUCUAAAAGAGAAUAAUAAAGGCCGAGAUAUUAAGAUAUAAUGUAUAAAAAUAUAUAUAAAAAUACACAUAUCAAAAUACCCCACACUUAGCCUUUGCUUGCCCCCAAGCAAAUUACUUUUAUUUUACCAAUAUCGUACUAAACAAUCCAUUUAAAACUCAGCCAUUAUGUCAAGACUGCAAUGCAUGCAUUUGUGUCUAAAAUUUUCCUAAAGAACCCCCAUACUCUAAAUACUCACAAUCCUCACAAACAUUCGCCCGCUCACCCCGAACUAUGCUCAUUUUAUGCAUCCCUCAGAAUCCAUCCUCAGAAAACCUCUUAACCUCAAGGUAUUUUUGGUUGAGCAACCCAAGCAUACAUAAUAUAGAAUUACAAUUUAUGAUAGCACUAUGGAGCUUUUUUGGAAUUCUUCACUUUCUUGAUACUUUGAUCUUUUAUUUCUUUGAAUUCACCACCUAAUUUGAUUUCUGGUAUCUUUAACUUUUUGAAUUUCUUGGAAUUUUGAUCUUUUGAUCUUCACUUUAUUUGCUCCAAAAUUCUUCAAACUUUUCUGGCAAUUCUCUUUUUUUUUUUACAUGUACCUCACUUUUUUCACUCAAAACCUACAUGCUUAAGCAGAGGCGCUCAACCUCUACCUUUAUUGGCUAACGAUAAUAAUUUUCCUGGAUACAUUUUAGGUUUAGGCUGCUAAACAUAUUGCAUCCCUCAAACCAAGCGAGGUUAUGUUUUUGUUCCAUGAUUUCACUAAAAUAAGGGAGGCCACAAAUGCACUAGAACGUAUAUAAGCUCAACUAAACAUUUGAGUUCUCAUCGGAUCAUCUCAUACAAUAUUAGCAAAAUUUUAAAUUAUCACUAGAUUUUUCUAAAUUAAACUAUUAUUUCAAGUUUUUAAAUUUUCAAAAUUUCUAGAUCUAGCAAUUUCCAAACUAUUAUAUAUAUAUAUAUAUAUAUNAUAUAUAUAUUAUUUUUUUAUAAUUUGCUUUUACCAACCCCCUACCCCACACUUAUUUCAUACAAUGUCCUCAUUGUAUGCAUAAAACUAAUUAAACACAUAAAAAGGGAGAAAAAGGAACAGACUCCCCUGGGGUAGUUGUGGCGAGAUUGAAUGGGGCUGCUACAAGUUGCUUCAAAUAUUGCUGAAAAACUGAAAACUGGAACUGUUGCUUCUGAAUUUGCCGAUAAAUAAAAUCAAGACUGCCGACUUCGAAAAUGUGGUGCAAAAGAUUGCAAACAAAUGCAAUGUAUAGUAACCAUGACGUGGGAAAGUGUCGACCACGUCGUCUCGUCAAGAAUGACAUCCUCUUCUCGCGAUGAAAACUCCCCCACAACAUAGGAAAGUGUCAACCAUGUCGUGGCAGCCGGGAUGAUACUCCUUCCUCGCGUCAAAAUAAAACUCUAUGGUGUGGGAACAGCUCAUCCAUAUCGUAAGAGUCAAAAAUAAAAUGCCACUCUUCUACACAAUCGCUCACGAAAUCAAUAUGCACCCCACACUUAUGACAAAUUGUGGGUCUUGAAUAUAAUCUUCAAACUCUCACACGACUCUCUCUAGCAAUAGUCGGACCUAGCUACUGAACUUACUGCCAGCUUUCUAAGGGCGAAAAUUCUGCAGAGAUCUAAACAACCAAAGUGCAUCAACAUGGAAAACAAAAGUUAAACACCCUAAAUUAAAAUUAAUUACAUACCAAAUAAAAAUACUAAUACUAAGCAACAAAAAAAAUAAACUAAAAAUAACACAAAAAAAAUAAAAAGGAUAACUAAAUCACUCAUCAUCCCCGUUGUCAUGCUGCUGUGUCCCAGAAGUACCGGCCCCAUCAUGUCGUGGCUGGAAUGGUGGUGGAAAAGGAACCGAGUACUGAAACCCCUGAUGGGCAAAGAAUGCGGUCAACGAAUCCCCAUACCACUGCUGUUGUCUCUCCACGUGUGCAACAUACUCACCAAGGUUCUGAACCCCCAAGUCAAUACAGUCAAUGCGCUGAGCUAAGUAACACAUAUCAAUCUUCGGCUCAGGUCCCUACUGCGCUCCCCGAGGAGCAGGUCUACGCCGCUGGACCCAUCUCAGCUUUGACUCGACGGCACCCUCCUCAUCCGCCACGUCAUCUGGUCGUACCCUCAAGACACCAUCUCCGCCCCGCUCAAGUACACGCAUCGACUCCAAUAACUGAAGGCUCAUCGGCCUCAUAUCAUGCAACACCAUCGAUCUCGUGAUCUCACGCAUCAACAACUGAUAUGAUCGAGCUAGUCACGUGAUAAAAUGCACCCCGCAAAUCAGGCUAUCCUCCUAAAAUCCCCUGGCCCUCCUACCCAAAUACGCGGCUAAAGCAACUGGAAGGUUCAGGUGCCUCCCUAGAGUAACAAGUGCCCAUAAGAAAUACAAGUAUGUCGAAGGCACUCUCUCAUUGUUCUUAUGGUGCAUGAGAGACAUGGAAAUCAAACGGUGCAGCAGUCUAUAUGCAGUAGACCAAAUCAUCCUCCCCCGUGUAGUAGAUGGCGUAUAUACUCCCCCUGUAAUCUCGGCCUAAAAAAUGUUUUUGUUAUAGUCAUCUGGCCAGUCCGUGAGACAAUCAACAAGGAAUGUCGAGAAGUGGACACUCCUCUAUGACACUGCACUCCCAACUCACACCCCCCAGUCUGAAGGCAAAGGCUGUCCUAUCAUCAGGUGUCUUCCUAGGGUCAUAGGAAACUAUAGCAUAAAACUCCAGCAAAAAUUCACGAUAAACAGGCUCCUAGAUCCUGAACAAUCGUGCCCAUCCCUGACAUAUGAACAAAUGCACUCCACUUGCGUCCGAGUGCGUGUAUUGCAAAAAAUCCUGGAUCAGCGCAGCAAGGCCAGUCUGGGUCGCCAAUUCCCAGUCAAAUGAGGGCGCUAUGUCGAUCUCCUUAGUGAGAAGUAGACUCAAAUUGUUGACAUAUCGUGCCCAGGUUGCAUCGUUUAAAGUUUGCGGAAAUUGUAAGAAACGAUGAUCAGUCACUUCCUCGGGUGGGUUAGUCCUUUGAGUUCUUUGGGCCAUAAUCUUAGUGUCGAUUUCUACAAGAAAAGAAGCACAAUCGAAAAUCUCGUGGGAUACACGAUCAUCUCAGUGCAGCAAAGUAGAAGAGAAUUUGAAAGAAUAACAAAAAAGUCAAAGGUAAAUAGAUAUAACCUGUCGUCGACUUACGCUGGGCGUAAAGCGAAGUUACGCUGGGCGUAACCCCAACUCCGUGAAAAAGCCAUCCGCGAUCAAUGAUUCAUUACACUUGGCGUAAAUACACUUACGCUGGGCGUAAUUGAACUGAAAUAUUUCCUUUUCCUUAUUUGAAAUUCCUUUCUUUUAACUAAUUAAUUUGGGAGCUUCUAAAUAUAAUUAUUAUUUUCUUUUAAUUGCUUCAACAACAGCCAUGACUUUCCGACGAGUGACAUAUUAAAAAAAUUGAGACGUCAUGAUCACUUGUUUUUGUAGAGAUCAAAAAACAACGGUUGAUCAAAACCUUUGCAAGCAAGAAUUGGUUUGCGAAAAAAAUCACUUUCGGGACCUGUUAGAAUAUUUCCUUUGUUUUCUUCGCACCUUUAACUAAAAGUAGAACAAGAAGUGACCUAACUAGUCAAGAACAGCAAGAGCUCGGUCUUCCACUUAACCACCACAAUACGCCUUGCUAUACUACGCCUCAUGGAUUGAGUUGGACAAAUCACCCAAAGUAGUAGACUAAACAAGUCAAGAAUUCCCUAAUCGCUUAUAUUCUCGAAACCCAUGAAAAAGGUAAAGUCAAACAAUGUGUACGAUCCCAAAUUCCUACAAAUAAUAACAAGAACCUUCCCGAAAAGUGAAAUGAUAUCAACGAAAAUCGAACUAAAAAUAAAACUAAAUAAAAACAAAUAACGAAUAAUCAAAUAAACUAAUUUAAUGACAAGCCGUUCCCUGGUAACGGCACCAAAAACUUGAUGUACACAAAAGUAUCCACUAAUUUUAAUAUUUAUAACCUAACAAACUUAGACUAACUAUGCACUUAUAGGCAGUGUACCUAGUCAGAUUACAGUAUAGCUUAGGUAAGUCGGGUGUCGAUCACAGGGAACGGUGGUGAAUUAAUUUAAAAUAUUUGAUUAUAGGUUACAGGUCACACGAAAAGAAUAAAGAAGUAGUUUAAUACAUCUCAAACGAACAAUUAAUUGACAACUCUCGGUAAACUAACAAGAAAGCAAAUCUCUACAGGUACUUUGGUUUAGAUAAAUUACACCUUAAAAACAUAGACAAUUUCAUGCACAAAUUCAUUUAUUCAUGUUCACCGAUUCCUAAAAUGAUUAGAUUCGCGUUCACUAUAACUAAUCCUUUAGCAAACAAGUCAAUUCAAACAGUGAUCAGUUGAUUAAACUAACAUGCUUCCUAGUGUUCAGUUCGUAUCAAGCAAGACUUGUAAAUAUAGUUAAUCAAUUUGGACAUUUAAUCAACCUCUUGUUGAUGGUCAUCAAACAAGGCUCACACAUUAACUUACUUAUUCUCAAGUUAAUCCUNACAUUUGUUAUUCCUAGACUUAUAAUCUCGAUGGUCAUCAAAAUCAGAAAAGACAAGCAAUCAAGUAGAUGUUCAUACAACUCAAUUUACUUAAUUAACUGCAAAUAAUUAUCAUUAACACGUAAGGAUCUUUUAACAAGCUUGGCAAGAUAAAUUAAACAUAAACAAACAAUUCAAUAUAGCAAUUAGUCCAAUAAUCAAGGUUUCAUUCAAUCAUAAACACAAAGUAAAAGGUUUUUAC
rnacentral:lncRNA from 1 species